CUCUUUCUGACUCCCCUAGUGCAUUAACAGAAACGAGUUGUCUGAUCAUCAAUUAGCAUUUACAUUAUCAGAAUGCAGAAUUGAUCAAAUGACAAACUUCCACACAAAGCCUUUUUUUCACCAGAUGCCAAUGAACAAAAGUUACUUUCUAUUUCUUGAAGAUAGUGUUGACAGAGCAGAACAGGGCUGAUAGCUGCUACAACCAGUAAUAACCCUGUUAGAAAUAUUUAAAUCAACAUUUGUGGUUUCAAACUGAAUAGGGUGGUGUCAAACUGAAUCAAUAGUAAUUUUAUUUUCAACCGAGAGACAACCCUUCUUACUGCAUACCCCCACCCCACCCCCAACAUGAUGAUAACAACCCACCUGUGGGAGACAGCCUUUUUAAGCUCCCUGCGUCUUCUCUUUAGCUUCACAAGUUGCAGUUUUUGACUGUUUUCCACAUCAGAAACACUCUUACUAUUGCUGCAGACAGAAAAUGUCAGAUCAAGAUAAAAAACAAAGUUCUGAAGGGGAAAGCCAAGGUCCCGGGCCUGGACCUGCUGGGCCCGGACCUGCUGUACACGUGCCUCUGCGCGGUGCUGGCCACGGAGGUGCUAACGUCCCCGCGCAAGUUCCUGCGCAGGGACCUGGGAUUGGGCAAGGUCCUGCCCGCGUACCUGGGCAUAAGAGUGGCAAAUAAUACAGGAAACACUGGCAGCAUGAUCUGAGCUGAGUUACCUGUUGCCUGUCAAAUUCUUCUUUCUUCUUUCUUUCUUUCUUUCUUUCUUUCUUUCUUCUUAUUCUUUAAAAUUUUUUAUUUACUCAAAAACAUGUUUUUAUUUACUCAAAAACAUGUUCACAUUGUCAAACACCAAUAAAGGAUGUAUUACACUUUGACUCA
rnacentral:lncRNA from 1 species